UACGUAGGGGGCAAGCGUUGUCCGGAUUUAUUGGGCGUAAAGAGCGUGUAGGCGGCCCGGUAAGUCCGCUGUGAAAGUCGGGGGCUCAACCCUCGGAUGCCGGUGGAUACUGUCGGGCUAGAGUACGGAAGAGGCGAGUGGAAUUCCUGGUGUAGCGGUGAAAUGCGCAGAUAUCAGGAGGAACACCAAUUGCGAAGGCAGCUCGCUGGGACGUCACUGACGCUGAGACGCGAAAGCGUGGGGAGCAAACAGG
rnacentral:rRNA from 1 species